CUGAAUUGCCAGGAUUACAGGUGUGCAUCACUAUGCAUAUAUCUUUGAAAAGUUUCUUUGGCUUUUUUUCUUAAAAAUACUGUGCAGGUUUAAAACAAAUGUUUGACAUGAUCAUUUAUUUUUGAGUUUUUUUCCAUAAAAUAAAAAUACAGAAAAUGACACAAAACAAAUGAACGUGUAUUGAAUUACUAUUAUAAGAUGAAUGUCCUUGCAUCCACCACCCUGUAAGGAAUAGUGCUUUGCUGGACACUCCAGAGUACUCCCCUGGGACCUCUCCUUCCUCCUCCUUCCCUCUCUUUACAAUGUAAUCCUGACUUUUGUGGAAAUGACUUCAGGCAUUUCUUGAUGUCAGUUUAAUCUUGCCAACUUUUUCCUUUUUUUAACUUUAUAUUUCUUAGGGCUUUUAAAUUGCAGUCCCUGCUCCAUCCCACUGUUUCCCUACAUAUUAUCUUCUGGACCUGGGCCAUCUGUUUUUUCUGUAGUCUGGAUUUUGCUGAUUGUGUUCAUGAGAACACAGUUCAAAUGUGGCCAGCAAGGUGGGGAGCAGGACUAGGGCACUGCCUCCACUACGCAGAUAGACAGAGCUCCAUUCUGUCAACCCAGAGACAUACGGGAUUAUUCUGUUUUAGGAGCAGUAACUCACCAAUGGGGUAAGCAAAGGUCUUUUUACUUAGGACAUAUGACCAUAAAAGAAAAAGACUGCAUAUAAAUAAAAAAUGUUACUUCAUAACGCAAAGAUUUUGAAAGUAACAAGCAAAAGCAAACUAUGGAAAGAGUUUGUAACUCAUCACAAAGGACUAAUAUCCCUGAUGUGUACGAGAAAACAACUGGUGAAUCAGAGGAACGGAUCACCCAGGUUGUUCCCAAGAAGUACAUACAGCCCCUGGAGUGGAUGUGUGUCCAUCUUCACUCCGGAGAGUACAGCUGAGCAGCAGAUGCAGUUUCUCCCUCAACAGGCUCCAGGGUUGCCGAGGCUGUUGGGAAAUGCUGCUGAUGCUGAAGGCAGAUGGCAUACCCCUGGACACCAGCGGAGCCUGCCUGCCAGUAUGAUAAAUGCGUUUCCCUGAUCCGCCAGCCCUGUUCUGCAGACUGAUACUGCAACACCUGUGCCCAUACAAAUAUAAGGCAGGAUUCAUGGGCUGGGUAGAAGCUCAGCCACCAUGCCCAGCUCAUCAGAUAAUGUUCUGGAGAAUGUUUUUGGAAUUAGAAAAAAAAUAUUGUCACUAUUAAACAGUUUUCUCCCUAUAA